rnacentral:rRNA from 1 species
GACGAACGCUGGCGGCGUGCUUAACACAUGCAAGUCGAACGGAAAGGCCCUGCUUUUGUGGGUUGCUCGAGUGGCGAACGGGUGAGUAACACGUGAGUAACCUGCCCUUGACUUUGGGAUAACUUCAGGAAACUGGGGCUAAUACCGGAUAGGAGCUCCUGCUGCAUGGUGGGGGUUGGAAAGUUUCGGCGGUUGGGGAUGGACUCGCGGCUUAUCAGCUUGUUGGUGGGGUAGUGGCUGACCAAGGCUUUGACGGGUAGCCGGCCUGACAGGGUGACCGGCAACAUUGGGACUGAGAUACGGCCCAGACUCCUACGGGAGGCAGCAGUGGGGAAUAUUGCACAAUGGGCGGAAGCCUGAUGCAGCAACGCCGCGUGCGGGAUGACGGCCUUCGGGUUGUAAACCGCUUUCGCCUGUGACGAAGCGUGAGUGACGGUAAUGGGUAAAGAAGCACCGGCUAACUACGUG